CUAGCGAGACUGCCGGUAAUAAACCGGAGGAAGGUGGGGAGUGACGUCAAAUCAUCAUGCCCCUUAUGACCUGGGCUACACACGUGCUACAAUGGUUGGUACAACGAGUUGCGAGUCGGUGACGGCGAGCUAAUCUCUUAAAGCCAAUCUCAGUUCGGAUUGUAGGCUGCAACUCGCCUACAUGAAGUCGGAAUCGCUAGUAAUCGCGGAUCAGCACGCCGCGGUGAAUACGUUCCCGGGCCUU
rnacentral:rRNA from 1 species